UCUCCCUGGCAAUGGGCAGAGACACCUUGUUGUUGGUGGUGUUCAUUUAUCAGUCAAGGGUAGAGCAGCUGGCAGUCCUCCUAGCUUCAUUCCUCCUAGCUUGAUGCCUGGCUUGGUAGCAAAAUCUGUCUUAUGCCUAGGACACAUAA